rnacentral:tRNA from 1 species
CCACAGAUUGUCGUGCAGGGACGGGAAUGAAUCUUUAAUGGAUCUUUAACACUCAAAGCCAGCUUGCAUUUA